rnacentral:rRNA from 1 species
AACGACUCUCGGCAACGGAUAUCUCGGCUCACGCAUCGAUGAAGAACGUAGCAAAAUGCGAUACUUGGUGUGAAUUGCAGAAUCCCGUGAACCAUCGAGUUUUUGAACGCAAGUUGCGCCCGAAGCCAUUCGGUUGAGGGCACGUCUGCCUGGGCGUCGCGCA